AUACGGAGGGUGCAAGCGUUAACCGGAAUUACUGGGCGUAAAGCGCGCGUAGGCGGUUAUUUAAGUCAGAUGUGAAAUCCCUGGGCUCAACCUAGGAACUGCAUCUGAUACUGGGUAACUAGAGUUUUGGAGAGGUAAGUGGAAUUUCCGGUGUAGCGGUGAAAUGCAUAGAGAUCGGAAGGAACACCAGUGGCGAAGGCGACUUACUGGCCGAAAACUGACGCUGAGGUGCGAAAGCGUGGGUAGCAAACAGGAUUAGAUACCCUAGUAGUCC
rnacentral:rRNA from 1 species